GCGGCCGUGGUGGAAUGGUAGACACGCAUCGUUGAGGUCGAUGUGCCGAAAGGUGUGGAAGUUCAAGUCUUCUCGGCCGCACCA
rnacentral:tRNA from 1 species